rnacentral:rRNA from 1 species
CACGUAGGGGGCAAGCGUUGUCCGGAAUCAUUGGGCGUAAAGAGCUCGUAGGCGGCUCGGUAAGUCGGGUGUGAAACCCCCCAGGCUCAACCUGGGGACGCCACCCGAUACUGCUGUGGCUAGAGUCCAGUAGGGGAGUGUGGAAUUCCCGGUGUAGCGGUGAAAUGCGCAGAUAUCGGGAGGAACACCAGCGGCGAAGGCGGCACUCUGGGCUGGAACUGACGCUGAGGAGCGAAAGCGUGGGGAGCGAACAGG